rnacentral:rRNA from 1 species
AGAGUUUGAUCAUGGCUCAGGAUGAACGCUGGCGGCGUGCUUAACACAUGCAAGUCGAACGAUGACCCGGUGCUUGCACCGGUGAUUAGUGGCGAACGGGUGAGUAACACGUGAGUAACCUGCCCUUAACUCUGGGAUAAGCCUGGGAAACUGGGUCUAAUACCGGAUAUGACUCCUCAUCGCAUGGUGGGGGGUGGAAAGCUUUUUUGUGGUUUUGGAUGGACUCGCGGCCUAUCAGCUUGUUGGUGAGGUAAUGGCUCACCAAGGCGACGACGGGUAGCCGGCCUGAGAGGGUGACCGGCCACACUGGGACUGAGACACGGCCCAGACUCCUACGGGAGGCAGCAGUGGGGAAUAUUGCACAAUGGGCGCAAGCCUGAUGCAGCGACGCCGCGUGAGGGAUGACGGCCUUCGGGUUGUAAACCUCUUUCAGUAGGGAAGAAGCGUAAAGUGACGGUACCUGCAGAAGAAGCGCCGGCUAACUACGUGCCAGCAGCCGCGGUA